GAGACAUCAUAGUUUAACUUCAAGUCCUCCUUCUCGAGCUUAGUAGAAUAAUUAAGGUUCCUCUUAAAAGUACCUAGGAACUCUUUGGCCAGCCACUCACUUGUUGCUUGUCUAUUGGUUGGUGCUCUAGGACAGUUGUGCUCCCCAAUAUAUGUUUUAAUCAUAAAUGUGUCUUCAUCUUGGAGCUUGCUUCCAUUCAUCCUCUAAUUACAGCCUUCAAUACACCUACUAUCCA
rnacentral:lncRNA from 1 species